UGGGGAAUAUUGGACAAUGGACGAAAGUCUGAUCCAGCGAUGCCGCGUGAGUGAAGAAAGCCUUCGGGUCGUAAAGCUCUUUUACUUGGGAAGAAAAUUGUUUAACUAAUAAUUAGACACAAUGACGGUACCAAGAGAAUAAGCGCCGGCUAACUAUGUGCCAGCAGCCGCGGUAAUACAUAGGGCGCGAGCGUUAAUCGGAAUUAUUGGGCGUAAAGAAUUUGUAGGCUGUCGUGUAAGUUGAAUGUGAAAUCCCUGGGCUUAACCUAGGAAUGGCGUUCAGGACUACACGGCUAGAGUAUGUGAGAGGUAAGUGGAAUUCCUAGUGUAGCAGUGAAAUGCGUAGAUAUUAGGAGGAACACCAGUGGCGAAGGCGACUUACUGGCACAAUACUGACGCUGAGAAAUGAAAGCGUGGGGAGCAAACGGG
rnacentral:rRNA from 1 species